rnacentral:rRNA from 1 species
UACGUAGGGUGCAAGCGUUGUCCGGAAUUAUUGGGCGUAAAGAGCUCGUAGGCGGUCUGUCGCGUCUGCUGUGAAAUCUCAGGGCUUAACCCUGAGCUUGCAGUGGGUACGGGCAGACUAGAGUGCGGUAGGGGAGACUGGAAUUCCUGGUGUAGCGGUGAAAUGCGCAGAUAUCAGGAGGAACACCGGUGGCGAAGGCGGGUCUCUGGGCAACAACUGA